GACGGAAGGUGCAAGCGUUGCUCGGAAUCACUGGGCGUAAAGGGUGCGUAGGCGGCCGUGCAAGUCUGGCGUGAAAGCCCCGGGCUCAGCCCGGGAAGUGCGCUCGAAACUGCGCGGCUCGAGUGCCGGAGGGGAGAGUGGAAUUCCUGGUGUAGCGGUGAAAUGCGCAGAUAUCAGGAGGAACACCAGCGGCGAAGGCGGCGCUCUGGGCCGGUACUGACACUGAGGAGCGAAAGCGUGGGUAGCAAACAGG
rnacentral:rRNA from 1 species